GUCACUGGAUCACAGCUGGACGGCUCGCGACGCCGUCACGGAAAAUAACAGGUAAGCAUUCACUUUUUUAUUCCUAUUUAAAGCACUUUUGAACGUUAUUUUGUGUUUUGUCAAUUUUAUCUGAAGAUUAACCAGCUCAGUUAUCAUUGUAAUGUUAGCUAGCAAAGAAGCAAGGACAACCACAUCAAAGUUAUCAACGGCAAGUGUUAAAUAUGCAGUGUUAUACACAACAGUUUGUCAGUGAUAAAUUAAGGUGUGUGUGUGUGUGUGUGUGUGUGUGUGUGUGUGGUUUCUCACAGCUGGACACAGACAAACGAGUCCCGCGAAUUGUAUUUUUAAACUGGAGAGACAGCUGACAGGAUGUCGUCAUCUGUAACCGUCACUCGCCACAGUUCUCAAGCAAGAGCAAAGGCAGCGAGGGGUGGUGUGAUGUCAUUUGCAACAAGACGGCUGAUACUAAUAUGAGCCUAAAAUAAAGGACAAUAAUGGCAUCAGCCAUUCAAGUUAUGAUCCUGGCAGAUCUACUACUAUCUGAAAAGUAGUCUCUGCAGAUUGUUUCAAGAUACACAAGAUGGAGCGUGGAGACGGGACAUGGACCACAGUUUUUCAGCACCCACACCCCACACUCAAAUUCAUAUAGAAGUUCUCAAUUAUUAAAUGUUAAUUUCAUAGUUUAUAUUUAGCUGUGAAGUUAUAGUUCAUUGUCAUAAAUAUUAAACUACAUAUUAUUAUUAUUAUUAUUUUACAUGAUAUGCAAAUUUCACCAAUUUGUUUAAUGUGUUAAUUAACUUUUUGAAAGUGAUUAUCUUUAAUAAUUCAGAUACCUGUUGAAAUGCACAUGUAAUUAUAUACUUGCUCGUAUCUGGAAGGUUGUGUUAAUAAAAAUGAUGUUGAAAGCGAAUGUUGCAAUACUGCUAAUCUUAAAAUAACAUUUUAUUAAACUAAACUUUGUAAUGUUCCAAAUAAAUGUUUUUAGGGUGUUGUGUUUUUAAGAAAAUGUAGGUGGAAAUAAAGUUGUAGGAACAUUAUGCUAACCAUAAAAUAAUGUUCUAGCAACGUUAGGCAAACUGGACAUUUUGACGUUCUUGGAAUGUUCCAAAUAAACGUUAAUAGAACAUUAUAUUUUUAAUGAAAAUUAGGUUGCAAGAACAUUGCAGGAAAGUUAUGCUAACCAUAAAAUAACGUUCUAGCAACGUUAA